rnacentral:tRNA from 1 species
GUCCAGGAGCGGGAAUCGAACCCACAACCUUCUGCUUACCGGGCAGGUGCCAUGUUCACUAGGCUAUCCUGGA